UUGUAGUAUUAAGAGCAGAUCAACGUUUCAUUGAUGAGCCUGAUGAAAGUCCACAAGAGGGACUGAAACGUUGAUCUGCUCUUAAUACUACAAAUAAAAGUUAC